rnacentral:rRNA from 1 species
GAUGAACGCUGACAGAAUGCUUAACACAUGCAAGUCUACCAAGAAUCACUUCGGUGAGGAAUGGUGGCGGACGGGUGAGUAACGCGUAAAUAAUCUGCCCUUUAGACUGGGAUAUCCUUUGGAAACGAAGGUUAAUACCGGAUAUUAUGAGAUGGACGCAUGUUCAACUUAUGAAAGCUAAAUGCACUAGAGGAGGAGUUUGCGUCCCAUUAGCUAGUUGGUGAGGUAAAGGCUCACCAAGGCCACGAUGGGUAGCCGGCCUGAGAGGGUGAACGGCCACAAGGGAACUGAGACACGGUUCUUACUCCUACGGGAGGCAGCAGUGGGGAAUAUUGGACAAUGGACCAAAAGUCUGAUCCAGCAAUUCUGUGUGCACGAUGAAGGUCUUCGGAUUGUAAAGUGCUUUCAGUAGGGAAGAAAAAAAUGACGGUACCUACAGAAGAAGCGACGGCUAAAUAUGUGCCAGCAGCCGCAGUAAUAC